rnacentral:rRNA from 1 species
CCUACGGGUGGCAGCAGUGGGGAAUAUUGGACAAUGGGCGAAAGCCUGAUCCAGCCAUGCCGCGUGUGUGAAGAAGGCCUUCGGGUUGUAAAGCACUUUCAGUGGGGAAGAAAGCCUUGGGGCUAAUACCCUCGAGGAAGGACAUCACCCACAGAAGAAGCACCGGCUAACUCCGUGCCAGCAGCCGCGGUAAUACGGAGGGUGCGAGCGUUAAUCGGAAUUACUGGGCGUAAAGCGCGCGUAGGCGGUCUGAUAAGCCGGUUGUGAAAGCCCCGGGCUCAACCUGGGAACGGCAUCCGGAACUGUCAGGCUAGAGUGCAGGAGAGGAAGGUAGAAUUCCCAGUGUAGCGGUGAAAUGCGUAGAGAUCGGGAGGAAUACCAGUGGCGAAGGCGGCCUUCUGGACUGACACUGACGCUGAGGUGCGAAAGCGUGGGUAGCAAACAGGAUUAGAUACCCUAGUAGUC